rnacentral:rRNA from 1 species
AGGAUGAACGCUGGCGGCGUGCUUAACACAUGCAAGUCGAACGAUGAAGGCUGGAGCUUGCUCUGGCUGGAUUAGUGGCGAACGGGUGAGUAACACGUGAGUAACCUGCCCCAGACUCUGGGAUAAGCGCUGGAAACGGCGUCUAAUACCGGAUACGAGCUUCCACCGCAUGGUGAGGAGCUGGAAAAGAAUUUUCGGUCUGGGAUGGACUCGGCGGCCUAUCAGCUUGUUGUGAGGUAAUGGCUCACCAGGCGACGACGGGUAGCCGCUGAGAGGGUGACCGGCCACACUGGGACUGAGACGACGGCCCAGACUCCGUACGGGAGGCAGCAGGUAGGGAAUUAUUAGGCAACAACGUGGG